rnacentral:rRNA from 1 species
GACGAACGCUGGCGGCGUGCUUAACACAUGCAAGUCGAACGGAAAGGCCCUGCUUUUGUGGGGUGCUCGAGUGGCGAACGGGUGAGUAACACGUGAGUAACCUGCCCUUGACUUUGGGAUAACUUCAGGAAACUGGGGCUAAUACCGGAUAGGAGCUCCUGCUGCAUGGUGGGGGUUGGAAAGUUUCGGCGGUUGGGGAUGGACUCGCGGCUUAUCAGCUUGUUGGUGGGGUAGUGGCUUACCAAGGCUUUGACGGGUAGCCGGCCUGAGAGGGUGACCGGCCACAUUGGGACUGAGAUACGGCCCAGACUCCUACGGGAGGCAGCAGUGGGGAAUACUGCGCAAUGGGCGGAAGCCUGAUGCAGCAACGCCGCGUGCGGGAUGACGGCCUUCGGGUUGUAAACCGCUUUCGCCUGUGACGAAGCGUGAGUGACGGUAAUGGGUAAAGAAGCACCGGCUAACUACGUG